CCCAACUUCGGUUAUAAGAUCCCUCAAAGAUGAUGAGGUUAAUAGGUUCGAGGUGGAAGCGUGGUGACACGUGGAGCUGACGAAUACUAAUCGAUCGAAGACUUAAUCAAU
rnacentral:rRNA from 1 species